UGGGGUGUAUCUUAUUUUAAAGUUUUUUAUUUACACUAAAAAGACCCUCGUUUAGAGGCGCCUUAA
rnacentral:tRNA from 1 species